UUUUUUCUUUUUUUUCUUGUUCUCUUUUAGUUUCCCUCUCAAACCCAAUCUCCCCAAUCCUCAACCCUUCCUCGCCAAUGCCGACUCCAAAUGCCAACCAUCUUUAUGCUUUUCGUCUGAGAAAUAGCACACCCACUCCAUCACCCGAGUCUUCUCCUCUAUCAUCUUGAGAACCCACUCUCUUCUCCUCCCGUCAUCCCCAAAAUCCCUCGCAAACCCACCCCCACCACAACCUCGAGACCCAUCUCCUCCACUUCUAUAGCCUAGCGACCCAACCCACCACCCACCUCCACUACCUAGUGACCCUCCCCAAGACCCAACUCCACCUCUGCCCUCACCUCCUCACACGUAUGCCCAUGUCUCACCUCCUCCAUCGCCCCCUUCCCUUUCUCCUCCAUCCUUGGUCCCAUGUCCUUGCCAUUCUACCUCCCCCAUCCCACCACCUAGUGGUAUUGCAACUCGCACUAGAAAUCGCACCCAACCCACUAUCCUUCCUCCCUCUGCUCCACCCAAACCCUUUGUUCAUGUCAAGACAGGUGCUCAAAAGCAAAAAAAAAUGCGUAUGUUGCAUCCAAUGAUUAUGUGCUGCUGCCUGAGUCCCUACCGCCCGUGCCUGUUGCCAAGAAGCCCGAGCCUACACCCACUGCUGUGCCAUCCACUUCCACUGCCAAAGGCAAGGCCUCCACUUCGGCUUCUACAAAAUUGGCUUGAAGGGAGUUCAAGCUAAGUCUCAAGGGGAGCUUGAGCUGAAGCUUAAGGGAGUCUAGUAGCUGGAGGGAGACCAGCAAACCAUUAUACCAGCGGGAGGCUGGUUGCUUGAAGAUUCUCACUAAACUAGGGAGUUGAUAGCUUGUGUUGUAAAGCAAUUUGAAAGGGAUUUUAAAAAUGUGUUUACUACUUUGUAUAUUGUAAUAACUUUGAGUAUUGUUAGUGAAUUUGCUUCAUCUCA